rnacentral:tRNA from 1 species
GGUGUUAUAGCAUAGUGGUCAUGCGGAGUACUGUUAAUACUUUUAACAGAGGUUCAAUUCCUCUUAACGCCUGCCA